UCUCCUUCCCUACCAUACUAUUACAAAUCACCACCACCACCUAAGGCUUAUCCCCCUCCAUACUAUUACACUUCUCCACCACCACCUAAGGCUUAUCCUCCACCAUACUACUACACUUCUCCACCACCACCCGUCCCUUACCCUCACCCACAUCCCCAUCCCCAUCAUUUCGUAGUGAAGGUGGUAGGAAAGGUGUACUGCUACAGGUGCUAUGACUGGGAUUAUCCUAAGAAAUCACACGACAAGAAGCAUCUCAAAGGUGCUGUAGUGGAGGUCACAUGCAAGGUAGGUGAAAAGGAGAUCAA
rnacentral:misc_RNA from 1 species